rnacentral:rRNA from 1 species
UACGUAGGGGGCUAGCGUUGUUCGGAUUUACUGGGCGUAAAGGGCGCGUAGGCGGUCGUGACAAGUCACUUGUGAAAUCUCCGGGCUUAACUCGGAACGGUCAAGUGAUACUGUCGGACUAGAGUACAGAAGGGGCAACUGGAAUUCUCGGUGUAGCGGUGAAAUGCGUAGAUAUCGAGAGGAACACCUGCGGCGAAGGCGGGUUGCUGGGCUGAUACUGACGC